AUUGAACGCUGGCGGCAUGCCUUACACAUGCAAGUCGAACGGUAACAGGUCUUCGGAUGCUGACGAGUGGCGAACGGGUGAGUAAUACAUCGGAACGUGCCCGAGAGUGGGGGAUAACGAGGCGAAAGCUUUGCUAAUACCGCAUACGAUCUCAGGAUGAUAGCAGGUGACCGCAAGGCCUUGCGCUCACGGAGCGGCCGAUGGCAGAUUAGGUAGUUGGUGGGAUAAAAGCUUACCAAGCCGACGACCUGUAGCUGGUCUGAGAGGACGACCAGCCACACUGGGACUGAGACACGGCCCAGACUCCUACGGGAGGCAGCAGUGGGGAAUUUUGGACAAUGGGCGCAAGCCUGAUCCAGCCAUGCCGCGUGCAGGAUGAAGGCCUUCGGGUUGUAAACUGCUUUUGUACGGAACGAAAAGACUCUGGUUAAUACCUGGGGUCCAUGACGGUACCGUAAGAAUAAGCACCGGCUAACUACGUGCCAGCCGCCGCCGUAACAC
rnacentral:rRNA from 1 species